UGCAGAGGGGGCAAGCGUUAUUCGGAAUUAUUGGGCGUAAAGGGCGCGUAGGCGGCCUGGCAAGUGGAUGGUGAAAUCCCUCGGCUUAACCGAGGAACUGCCAUCCAGACUGCUUGGCUUGAGACCGGGAGAGGUGAGUGGAAUUCCCAGUGUAGCGGUGAAAUGCGCAGAUAUCAGGAGGAACACCGGUGGCGAAGGCGGGACUCUGGGCCGAUACUGACGCUGAGGAGCGAAAGCGUGGGGAGCAAACAGG
rnacentral:rRNA from 1 species